rnacentral:rRNA from 1 species
GUAUUUCAGGGAAAAGUUUUUUUAAAUUUAAUAAUUAAAGUUAUUUUAAUUUGUGAAGAAACAAUUAUAUAAAUUAAGGACAAGAAGACCCUAAGAAUUUAAGAAUUCUUAUGUUACUUAAAUAUAAAAUAGGAAUUCUUAGUUGGGGCAACUAAAAAACAUUAUAAACUUUUUUUCUUUAAAAUGACCCAUUAUUAAUGA